rnacentral:rRNA from 1 species
GACGAACCGUGCGAACGUUAUUCGGAAUCACUGGGCCUAAAGCGCGUGUAGGCGGCCCGGCACGUCUCUGGCUGAAAUCCCCCGGCUCAACCGGGGAAGGGGCCGGGAUUCGACCGGGCUGGAGGGGGGUAGGGGGGACGGGAACUCCGGGUGGAGCGGUGAAAUGCGUUGAGAUCCGGAGGAACGCCCGCGGCGAAAGCGCGUCCCUGGACCCCGCCUGACGCUGAGACGCGAAAGCCAGGGGAGCGAACGGG